AAGCAAAGCCCAAAGCUCAUGAAGAUGUUUUUGACGACAACGUUUUGGAAAAAAAGUGUUGGUUGGCACAUAACUGCACACCUUGGGAAAAAGUUAAAAAGUUUUGGGUAGAUACAUGCACGCUUAGAAAUAAAUGUAAGGGAUCUCUGUCGGAUUUGCUAGCAGAAUGGCCGCGCUACAAUGAUUUUAACGGUUACGAAUUGGUUGAUAUUGAUUUUAAUGCCAUGCAUCCAGAUAUUGGAAACGAGCUGUUCUUAAAACUUGACAAGUUUUAUAAAGUAAUCCUUCCUAUCUUAAAUGCGGAAGUAAAAGACCAAGCCAGCCGAGAGUUAUUACUUUCGAAACUCCUUUACAAAAA